rnacentral:rRNA from 1 species
AUACGUAGGGGGCGAGCGUUGUCCGGAAUGAUUGGGCGUAAAGGGCGCGUAGGCGGCCCGGUAAGUCUGGAGUGAAAGUCCUGUUUUUAAGAUGGGAAUUGCUUUGGAUACUGUCGGGCUUGAGUGCAGGAGAGGUAAGUGGAGUUCCCAGUGUAGCGGUGAAAUGCGUAGAGAUUGGGAGGAACACCAGUGGCGAAGGCGACUUACUGGACUGUAACUGACGCUGAGGCGCGAAAGUGUGGGGAGCAAACAGGAUUAGAUACCCUGGUAGUCCACACUGUAAACGAUGAAUGCUAGGUGUAGGGGGUAUCGACCCCUUCUGUGCCGCAGUCAACACAAUAAGCAUUCCGCCUGGGGAGUACGGCCGCAAGGUUGGAACUCAAAUGAAUUGACGGGG